ACAAAAUUUUUAAGGCCGCGGUAUUUUGACCGUGCAAAGGUAGCAUAAUCAUUUGUUCUUUAAUUGAGGACUAGUAUGAAAGGCAACACGAAAGCUUAACUGUCUCCUUUUUGAAAAAUGAAAUUAGUAUUUUUGUGAAGAAACAAAGAUAACAAUGUAAGACGAGAAGACCCUGUCGAGCUUAAGAAAAUUUUUAUUAUAAAUUUUUAACAARAUAAAUCAAAACUUUWCUAUAAAUAUAAAAUAAAAAUAUCUUUGGUGGGGGCAACCACGAAGAAAAAACAACCUUUGUUCUAAAAAAAAAAUUUACAAAUUUAAAAAUUUUUAAAUCUUUAAAAGAUCCAGAAAAUUCUGAUCAAAGAAAAAAGUUACCGCAGGGAUAACAGCGUUAUUCUCUUUAAGAGCUCGUAUUGACAAGAGAGUUUGCGACCUCGAUGUUGGACCGGGGCACCCAAGAGGUGCAGCAGCCUCUAAAGGUAGG
rnacentral:rRNA from 1 species